rnacentral:hammerhead_ribozyme from 1 species
AUCCGGCUGACGAGUCUCAAAUGGGACGAAACGCGCGUCCUGGAU